rnacentral:rRNA from 1 species
GGGUUGUGAGGUUAAGUGACUAAGCGUACACGGUGGAUGCCUAGGCAGUCAGAGGCGAUGAAGGACGUGCUAAUCUGCGAUAAGCGUCGGUAAGCUGAUAUGAAGCGUUAUAACCGACGAUUUCCGAAUGGGGAAACCCAGUGCAACUCGUUGCACUAUCGUUAAGUGAAUACAUAGCUUAACGAAGCGAACCAGGGGAACUGAAACAUCUAAGUACCCUGAGGAAAAGAAAUCAACCGAGAUUCCCCUAGUAGCGGCGAGCGAACGGGGAGCAGCCCAGAACCUUAAUCAGCGUAUGUGUCAGAGGAACGGUCUGGAAAGUCCGGCGAUACAGGGUGAUAGCCCCGUACUUGAAAAUGCAUAUGCUGUGAGUUCGAUGAGUAGGGCGGGACACGUGACAUCCUGUCUGAAUAUGGGGGGACCAUCCUCCAAGGCUAAAUACUCCUGACUGACCGAUAGUGAACCAGUACCGUGAGGGAAAGGCGAAAAGAACCCCGGCGAGGGGAGUGAAAUAGAACCUGAAACCGUGUACGUACAAGCAGUGGGAGCCUCUUUUAUGGGGUGACUGCGUACCUUUUGUAUAAUGGGUCAGCGACUUAUAUUUUGUAGCAAGGUUAACCGAAUAGGGGAGCCGUAGGGAAACCGAGUCUUAACUGGGCGUCAAGUUGCAAGGUAUAGACCCGAAACCCGGUGAUCUAGCCAUGGGCAGGUUGAAGGUUGGGUAACACUAACUGGAGGACCGAACCGACUAAUGUUGAAAAAUUAGCGGAUGACUUGUGGCUGGGGGUGAAAGGCCAAUCAAACCGGGAGAUAGCUGGUUCUCCCCGAAAGCUAUUUAGGUAGCGCCUCGUGAACUCAUCUUCGGGGGUAGAGCACUGUUUCGACUAGGGGGUCAUCCCGACUUACCAACUCGAUGCAAACUACGAAUACCGAAGAAUGUUAUCACGGGAGACACACGGCGGGUGCUAACGUCCGUCGUGAAGAGGGAAACAACCCAGACCGCCAGCUAAGGUCCCAAAGUCAUAGUUAAGUGGGAAACGAUGUGGGAAGGCAUAGACAGCCAGGAUGUUGGCUUAGAAGCAGCCAUCAUUUAAAGAAAGCGUAAUAGCUCACUGGUCGAGUCGGCCUGCGCGGAAGAUGUAACGGGGCUAAACUAUGCACCGAAGCUGCGGCAGCGACACUUAGGUGUUGUUGGGUAGGGGAGCGUUCUGUAAGCCUGUGAAGGUGGCCUGUGAGGGUUGCUGGAGGUAUCAGAAGUGCGAAUGCUGACAUAAGUAACGAUAAAGCGGGUGAAAAACCCGCUCGCCGGAAGACCAAGGGUUCCUGUCCAACGUUAAUCGGGGCAGGGUGAGUCGACCCCUAAGGCGAGGCCGAAAGGCGUAGUCGAUGGGAAACAGGUUAAUAUUCCUGUACUCGGUGUUACUGCGAAGGGGGGACGGAGAAGGCUAGGCUAUCCGGGCGACGGUUGUCCCGGUUUAAGCGUGUAGGGGGUGUGACUUGGUAAAUCCGGU